UACGUAGGUGGCAAGCGUUGUCCGGAAUUAUUGGGCGUAAAGCGCGCGCAGGCGGUCCUUUAAGUCUGAUGUGAAAGCCCACGGCUCAACCGUGGAGGGUCAUUGGAAACUGGGGGACUUGAGUACAGAAGAGAAGAGUGGAAUUCCACGUGUAGCGGUGAAAUGCGUAGAGAUGUGGAGGAACACCAGUGGCGAAGGCGACUCUUUGGUCUGUAACUGACGCUGAGGCGUGAAAGCUAGGGGAGCAAACAGG
rnacentral:rRNA from 1 species